rnacentral:rRNA from 1 species
CCAAACCGGGAUUCGCCUCAGUAACGGCGAGUGAAGCGGCAAAAGCUCAAAUUUGGAAAUCUGGUACCUUCGGUGCCCGAGUUGUAAUUUGUAAAGGGCGACUUUGGGGCGGCUCCUUGUCUAUGUUCCUUGGAACAGGACGUCGUAAAGGGUGAAAAUCCCGUGUGGCGAGGAGUGGGGUUCCGUGUAAAGCGCUCUCGAAGAGUCGAGUUGUUUGGGAAUA